rnacentral:rRNA from 1 species
GACGAACGCUGGCGGCGUGCUUAACACAUGCAAGUCGAGCGGUAAGGCCCUUUCGGGGGUACACGAGCGGCGAACGGGUGAGUAACACGUGGGUGACCUGCCCUCAGCUCUGGGAUAAGCCUGGGAAACCGGGUCUAAUACUGGAUAUGACUCCAUGACGCAUGUUGUGGGGUGGAAAGCCUUGUGCGGCUGAGGAUGGGCCCGCGGCCUAUCAGCUUGUUGGUGGGGNGAUGGCCUACCAAGGCGACGACGGGUAGCCGGCCUGAGAGGACGACCAGCCACACUGGGACUGAGACACGGCCCAGACUCCUACGGGAGGCAGCAGUGGGGAAUAUUGGACAAUGGGGGCAACCCUGAUCCAGCAAUGCCGCGUGUGUGAAGAAGGCCU